GCUUCUGAUUGGAUCUGGAGCGUUACAUCACCACUUUCAAGAUGAAGACUGUACUCUGCUUACUGCUGCUCUCAUUCAGCGUAUACCGAAUAAAAUGUCAAACAAUGGAGUCCAUUGAAAGCACGCUUCAGAAAAAGCCUGGAGAAACUCUGACUCUGUCCUGUAGAGGAUCUGGGUUCAGCUUUGACUGCUGUAGCAUGCACUGGAUCAGACAACAAGCUGGAAAACCUCUUGUGUGGAUUGGACGUGUUUAUAGUCAUGGCAAUAGCCAUGACUAUGCAGAAUCCUUCAAAAGACGAACUGAAAUCAGUAGAGAUAAUUCAAAGAAUAUGGUCUAUCUGAAACUGUCGGGCCUGACAACAGAAGACUCAGCCACAUAUUACUGUGCAAGAGAAACACGGUGACACAAAGUUAUUGCAACGCUAAACAAAAAACACUUGGAGUGUUUCAUCUCUUGUGGAGUUCAACAGAUGGCAGCAGAGAAUAGAAAAUCCUGAACAUACAGACUAAUGAGAAGAUAUACCAUCACUGAAACUGUCACAUUAUUAUAGUCUAUUAGAUUACGGUUACAUUUACAGUGACGCACACUAGCUCAAACAUUACACAAAGGUAUAUCUGACUCCUUUACCACAACACAUAUUUUUUAUAUAGAUUUGUGGUAGUGGCUACACAUUUUACAGUGAAAAACUAAAAAGUAUGUUUCAUGUAACCAGAGACUCUUCCAGGAGUAUAUAAGUGAAAAUGAGUAUAAAAGGGCAGAAUAUAACAAUGAAUAUCAGCAUCUUACUGUGCAUGAGAGCGAAUA